rnacentral:misc_RNA from 1 species
GAAGUGCGAUAUGUAAUGUGAAUUGCAGAAUUCCGUGAAUCAUCGAAUUUUUGAACGCAAAUUGCACUCACUGGUAUUCCAGAGAGUAUGCCUGUUUGAGGGUCAGUGUAAUAAAAAAUCGUUGUUGUUACUACCUUUAGUGGUGACGCUUCGGAAUUGAGUCGUCUUACCUUCGGGUUUAAGUGACUUUAAAUUUUUUACACGAAUUCGAAACGUAUUUUAAUGUAUUUAUGUACGUUUAACGAAGUCGGUUAAUUAGGUGCGGUCAUUUUUAUGAUAUUCGCAUCUAUAAUUUUUCUUUUUUUGACCUCAAAUCAGGUAAGAGUACCCGCUGAACUUAAGC